GACGAACGCUGGCGGCGUGCCUAAUACAUGCAAGUCGAACGAGAGCACCCGGUGCUUGCACUGGUCAAUCUAGUGGCGAACGGGUGAGUAACACGUGGGUAACCUGCCCAUCAGAGGGGGAUAACAUCCGGAAACGGAUGCUAAAACCGCAUAGGUCUUCGAACCGCAUGGUUUGAAGAGGAAAAGAGGCGCAAGCUUCUGCUGAUGGAUGGACCCGCGGUGCAUUAGCUAGUUGGUGAGGUAACGGCUCACCAAGGCCGUGAUGCAUAGCCGACCUGAGAGGGUGAUCGGCCACAUUGGGACUGAGACACGGCCCAAACUCCUACGGGAGGCAGCAGUAGGGAAUCUUCCGCAAUGGACGCAAGUCUGACGGAGCAACGCCGCGUGAGUGAAGAAGGUGUUCGGAUCGUAAAACUCUGUUGUUAGAGAAGAACAAGUGCUAGAGUAACUGUUAGCGCCUUGACGGUAUCUAACCAGAAAGCCACGGCUAACUACGUG
rnacentral:rRNA from 1 species